rnacentral:rRNA from 1 species
CAGCCGCGGUGAGACGUAGGAACGCAAGCGUUAUCCGGAUUUACUGGGCGUAAAGCGUCUGUAGGCGGAUCGAUAAGUUGGGCGUGAAAGCUCCGUGCUUAACGCGGAGAGGUCGUUCAAGACUGUCGAACUAGAGGGCAUCAGAGGAGCAUGGAAUUUCCGGUGUAGCGGUAAAAUGCGCAGAUAUCGGAAGGAACACCAGUGGCGAAGGCGGUGCUCUGGGGUGUACCUGACGCUGAGAGACGAAAGCUAGGGGAGCGAACAGGAUUAGAGACCCUGGUAGUCCUAGCCCUAAACGAUGGAUGCUAGAUGUGGGGUCGAGAAGACUCUGUGUCGCAGUUAACGCGCUAAGCAUCCCGCCUGGGGAUUACGGCCGCAAGGCUAAAACUCAAACGAAUUGACGGGGCCCCGCACAAGCAGCGGAGCGUGUGGUUUAAUUCGAUGCUACACGAAGAACCUUACCUGGGUUUGACAUGUAGGUGGUAGAGAAGCGAAAGCGGAUCGACCCUUCGGGGAGCCUACACAGGUGCUGCAUGGCUGUCGUCAGCUCGUGCCGUGAGGUGUCGGGUUAAGUCCCGUAACGAGCGCAACCCUUGCCCUUAGUUACAAGUGUCUAAGGGGACUGCCGGCGGUAAGCCGGAGGAAGGUGGGGAUGACGUCAAGUCAGCAUGGCCCUUAUAUCCAGGGCUACACACACGCUACAAUGGUCAGUACAAAGGGCAGCGAAGCCGCGAGGUGAAGCGAAUCCCAACAAAGCUGAUCUAAGUUCGGAUUGCAGGCUGCAACUCGCCUGCAUGAAGCUGGAGUUGC